AAUUGCAAUUCCCUCCAUUUGCUCUUUUGGAACUUGAUAAAAUUCAUAAUACUUGAUACACUUCCUAAUCCAUGCCCUAGGUUCCUUCCCAUCUAAGGUAACUAACUUGAUUGGAGAACUCUGUGCAAACCUGCAGACUCCAUAACGGAUCUGGAUCCAGAACUCUCCUGUUCCUUAGUGUUGGCAGAAGUCCUCUACUCUCUGUUCCUACAAUUUCCCUUUCCCCAUUAUUGAUUCCUUUAUCUUUGUGUUCCCCAUAAUAUUGGUUAUUAGGGCUCACUGGAAUUGCAUUCUUGGUCUCCACAGCAUUUAGCUUCAUCUCCUCUUGCAUACUUUUGAUUUCUCACCUGAUUGCAUCAAUGCUUUUCCUGGAAUCCUCUUACAAAAUCCUCAGCUGCUUCACUAAUUCUGCCAAUCUUUCAGCCUCUUGGCAUACUACCAUUGACCUAGCCAUAUG
rnacentral:misc_RNA from 1 species